CUCGAGUGGCGAACGGGUGAGUAACACGUGGGUGAUCUGCCCUGCACUUCGGGAUAAGCUUGGGAAACUGGGUCUAAUACCGGAUAGGAACCAUCUUUAGUGUGGUGGUUGGAAAGUUUUUUCGGUGUAGGAUGAGCUCGCGGCCUAUCAGCUUGUUGGUGGGGUAAUGGCCUACCAAGGCGGCGACGGGUAGCCGGCCUGAGAGGGUGUACGGCCACAUUGGGACUGAGAUACGGCCCAGACUCCUACGGGAGGCAGCAGUGGGGAAUAUUGCACAAUGGGCGCAAGCCUGAUGCAGCGACGCCGCGUGGGGGAUGAAGGCCUUCGGGUUGUAAACUCCUUUCGCUAGGGACGAAGCUUUUUGUGACGGUACCUAGAUAAGAAGCACCGGCUAACUACGUGCCAGCAGCCGCGGUAAUACGUAGGGUGCGAGCGUUGUCCGGAAUUACUGGGCGUAAAGGGCUCGUAGGUGGUUUGUCGCGUCGUCUGUGAAAUUCUGGGGCUUAACUCCGGGCGUGCAGGCGAUACGGGCAUAACUUGAGUGCUGUAGGGGUAACUGGAAUUCCUGGUGUAGCGGUGAAAUGCGCAGAUAUCAGGAGGACACCGAUGGCGAAGGCAGGUUACUGGGCAGUUACUGACGCUGAGGAGCGAAA
rnacentral:rRNA from 1 species